rnacentral:rRNA from 1 species
CGUCAAAUCAUCAUGCCCUUUAUGUCCCGGGCUACACACGUACUACAAUGGCAUUUAACAAUGAGUCGCGAACCCGCGAGGGGAAGCUAAUCUCCAAAAAGUGCCUCAGUUCAGAUUGCAGGCUGCAACUCGCCUGCAUGAAGUCGGAAUUGCUAGUAAUCGUGAAUCAGCAUGUCACGGUGAAUACGUUCCCGGGCCUU